ensembl:lncRNA
GUGUGUGUGUGUGUGACAGGAUAAAACUUUGGACAUUUUCUCUCGUCAUAACCCGAGCUUCUCAGCCAUGUUUCAAUAAUGGACCCAGAGACAUUCUGUCAGUCAUAGUCAGACCAGAUGAUUCCAGACGAGACACAGUCGUCCCUGGACACAGGGAAAGGCCUGAAGGUCCAAACAGCCACGCCACAUCUGGUCAGCCUGGGGAGUGGGAGGCUGAGUGUGGCCAUCACCCUACUGCCCCUUUAAAGAAGGUUACGCUCUGAGUCUGGGUAAAUCCUGCUUCUUGCGCUUCAACCAUCCAGAGGAGGCCAGCCGUAUGAACAGCAUGCUGCCUCUGAAGACCCCUGUCUCACCCCUGGGCUACAGCACAGACUAUCUGAAGUUUAGUAGUGACUACAGACAUGGGGAGGUGGGAGGGGCCAGCAGCGCCAGAGGGAUGCGCUCAGCCUCAGAGCUCCGUGAUUUGAUGGACACCUUACAACGUAAGAAGACCGCCCUGGAGACAAGCCUGCGAGCCAAUGGGGACGCUAGCCCCUCCUACUUCAGUAUGACACAGUCUCCACCCACCACGUCUGUGACCUCACCCACGUCGAUGUGGUCGGCCUAUCAGGAACAGGCUAGGCGCUUCUACGGCUCUGAUCGUCCUCCUCUCUCUGGCAAAGCUGCCGCCCCUCACUCCCCCUCUCGGCGCUCUGACCCCCCUUCCUCCCGAACCUCCAUGACCCGGAAACAAUCAUACCAAUCACAGGACAGCCUGCUCAUCUCCCCUGGCAAUGGGCGACGCCCACUAAACCCAAACUCCUCCCCCCUGUUGUCGAUGCGGAACUGUGGAGGUUCCUCUAACUCAGUGGCCGGUGGUGAUAGCCUCUCCUCUCCUCCACCCUCAUCCCUCUUUCCAACUAGUGGAGCAGCCAGCAUGCCCUCCAGUCCCCGCCUGGGACUACGAAGCCACGGCAACCAUGAGCCGGUGCCUAGCAACCGAACCAGGAAGUACUCUGCAGGUUCUAUAGGCGGCAUAAUGGAAAGUCACAGCUGCUCACUGCCCCGCCUCUGCCCCUCAUCACCUCGUUCCCAUGACAACGGAGCCCUGGCCCUGUUUUCCCUCCCCCUGACCUCUAAUCCUCUACGCAACUCCUCUCACAACAAUAGCCAAAACCAUACCACAAACAACAACUACAAUCAUAACCAAAUCACUAACUUCACCUACAGCCAGGCUCAAAACAUGAACCGGAACCAAGGAGAGGGGGUGGAAUCCAUCUCUCUCUCCAUCCCUGAAUCUCCCACCCAGGCCCCUCCAGACGUGACCUCACCGUCCCUAUCAGGGGGCUCUUCCAGCCCCGGUGUGGCCAAGAUACUCAGCGUCACCUCCACCAGCUCCACCUCCAGCCUUCAGGAGCCAAAGAGGUCAGCCAGCCGAGGAGCCUCCCCUGGACCAGAGCUCUUUCUGGGGGAGAGGCGGAGAGAGCACAGGGGGGGAAGACUGGAGCCUGUGCUAGGAUUAGAGGAACGAAGGCAGUCAUUUGGAAAGGGAGGGGUGGGGCUGGGGG